rnacentral:siRNA from 1 species
CUUGACUCUAGUCCGACUU